rnacentral:pre_miRNA from 1 species
AACCUUUUCAGGCUGGCCUCUAGGCUGGGCUGGGCAAGUAUCUCUUUGAAAGGCUCACUCUCAAGGAGGAUUAGUAGC